rnacentral:rRNA from 1 species
CAGCCGCCGCGGUAACACCAGCCCCUCGAGUGGUGGGGACUAUUAUUUGGUCUAAAGCGUCCGUAGCUGGCUGUAUCCGUCCUCCGUUAAAUCCAGCGUCCUAAGCGUUGGACUGCGGAUGAUACCAUACAGCUAGAGGGUGGGAUAGGUGAGCGGUAUUUCUGGGGUAGGGGCGAAAUCCUUUGAUCCCAGGAGGACCACCAGUGGCGAAGGCUGCUCACUAGAACACGCCUGACGGUCAGGGACGAAAGCUGGGGCAGCGAACCGGAUUAGAUACCCGGGUAGUCCCAGCUGUAAACGAUGCUAGCUAGGUGUUGGGUCGGCCACGCGCCGCCCCAGUGCCGCAGGGAAGCCGUUAAGCUAGCCACCUGGGGAGUACGGCCGCAAGGCUGAAACUUAAAGGAAUUGGCGGGGGAGCAC